AGACUUCAAUCCAAGAUAGACCUUUUAGAAGAACAAAGCUUGGGGCGAGAAGAGGGGGGCAAAUGUCUGAACUAACAAGGCAGCUUGCUCAAACUGGUGCUACCUUACAAGGAAUUCAAAUUGGGCAUGCUUCUCAACCAAACUCAGAA